ensembl:lncRNA
GGGGGAGCUCGGCGAGCGGAGACCGUAAAUAAAACCGGGAGACGGGCUGUGAGGAGCUGAGAGUGGGUCCGGGAGGCGGAGAGCGGCGGGGUCAGGCUGUGGAGAGGUGUGGAGUAACCGGAGCGCUGUCCGGUACCGCAGUUUCAGUGUUAUAUUGGUAGUUAGUUAAUAACGGGGGUUCUGCGCUCCUUCACUUCAGCCCUGACCGAUAUGGAGGUCCGCGCGCAGCGACCGGCUCGGUUUCGCGCCCUUUUGGACGCGGCUGGUUAACGUUAAGCUCCGGACCGCGGAGGAGGAGUCGCUGUGUUUGUGUUUAUACUGUGUGUGUUUUACCGGAGGACACGGUGACCGGUCAGGAAGAUGCCCGGCAGGAACAGGUAUAACCUGGUGGAUGAUGUGGCGGACUCCCGGGUUCCGCUUCAUAACGACGAGGCUUUCCAGCACGGACUGCACUUCCAGGCGAAGUAUGUGGGCAGUCUGGAUGUCCCAAGACCCAACAGUCGUAUGGAGAUUGUUGCUGCCAUGAGGAGGAUCAGAUAUGAGUUCAAGGCAAAGAACAUAAAGAAGAAGAAGGUGAGCUUGGUGGUCUCAGUGGAUGGAGUAAAAGUCAUACUACGCAAAAAACAGAAAAGAAAAGAGUGGACAUGGGAUGAAAGCAAAAUGCUGGUGAUGCAUGACCCCAUAUACAGGAUCUUCUAUGUGUCGCAUGACUCUCAGGAUCUGAAGAUUUUUAGCUACAUCGCCAGAGACGGAUCCAGCAACACCUUCAGAUGCAACGUCUUCAAGUCUAAAAAGAAGAGCCAGGCUAUGCGUAUUGUAAGGACAGUGGGACAGGCCUUCGAGGUGUGCCAUAAGCUGAGUCUGCAGCACGCUGAGCAGAAUGGGGAUGGACAGCUAGACAGUGCUGCAGAUGGAGAGAGUGAUAAGUCUGUGGAUGAGGCCACAAAUGAAGAGCGGCAGCUGCCUGGAGCUGAACAGGAUGAGGUCAUAGAGGUGGGAACAGAGUCUCAGUCUGCCAAUGUGUGUGAACAAGCUAUGAACGAAAUCCUUAAGAGCCUAUCAGAUCUCAACAUGGUCAAACCAGGACAGACCCUGCAGGAUUUGGAGGGUGUGUCUCUCUACACUCUAUCUCCCAGCAGCCCCUGCUCUCCAUCUCUCACGCCACUGGCCACCCAUCACCACCUGCACUUACUACAGCAGCAGUUACUCCAGCAGCAGCAGCAAGCCCAAGUCGCAGUGGCUCAGGUGCAGCUCCUAAAGGACCAGAUGGCAGCAGAAACUGCUGCUAGGAUGGAGGCUCAGGCAAGGACCCACCAACUGCUGCUGCAGAAUCGAGACCUGCUGCAGCACAUAGCUCUGCUGGUCAAACACGUCAGUGAGCUGGAGUCCAGAGUUAACGGCACUACACAGUAUGAGGAGUCACCAUGGAAAGGUGUUUCUUCCCGCUCUCUCUCCCUCAACCUGAAGAACCGCUACAUGCCCGGCUCAGGCCUGCCAAAGACCUCCACACCAGCUGGAGAUGCCCAAAACGGCCCUCCAAUCAGCCACACGAUGGACUGUGCUGAGUCCUACCUCAACCUUCUCAAACUGGGAGGACCCCCCACAGCCGUGGCCAACGGCAAGCCGGCGGACGCAGGAAGUGAGCAGGGAUCGGACGAUGCCAGGCAGAAUUCAUCUGCCCUGGACAAACGGUUUAAGCAAAUCAUCCCUAAACUGGAUCCUCCCCCUCCGCCACUCAACCGGAAGCGAUCGAACAGGACUUUCUCUCCAGGCUCGGAGACCAACGGCUCCUCCUUCCCCGACUUCACUUCCUGUACCGCCUCCCCAACCGACUUUUUCUCCUUCAGCAAUGGCGGAAGCGUCUCGUGUUCAGUCAGCGAGGACUCCGGCGUCCGCUCCGACAACAAGUCCCUCACGUCCCCGCAGCCCGGAGACGACCCGUUCGAGGACCGCAGCUCGGCCCUCCUGUCGACCUCCAGUACCUGCAGCAGUUUACCAGAGGACCGUCCCUUAGCCGGAACUCCGCCCCAUCUGACCACACCCCACAGCUACGAACACACGCUUCCGUUUUCCUCGCCCGUUAACGAGACCUGCCUCCACAUCAGCUUGAGUGAAGAUGAGCUGCUGGAGGACGGUAUUUGUAACGCCGCUACAGCUCUUGGGAGUUAGGAGCCAGGGCUCAAAAGACUUUAAUAAAGCCCUUGGCUUUGCUGCGGCCUAGCUGCGG